AUUGAACGCUGGCGGCAGGCUUAACACAUGCAAGUCGAGCGGAGAUGAGGUGCUUGCACCUUAUCUUAGCGGCGGACGGGUGAGUAAUGCUUAGGAAUCUGCCUAUUAGUGGGGGACAACAUUCCGAAAGGAAUGCUAAUACCGCAUACGCCCUACGGGGGAAAGCAGGGGAUCUUCGGACCUUGCGCUAAUAGAUGAGCCUAAGUCGGAUUAGCUAGUUGGUGGGGUAAAGGCCUACCAAGGCGACGAUCUGUAGCGGGUCUGAGAGGAUGAUCCGCCACACUGGGACUGAGACACGGCCCAGACUCCUACGGGAGGCAGCAGUGGGGAAUAUUGGACAAUGGGCGGAAGCCUGGUCCAGCCAUGCCGCGUGUGUGAAGAAGGCCUUUUGGUUGUAAAGCACUUUAAGCGAGGAGGAGGCUACCUGGAUUAAUACUCUAGGAUAGUGGACGUUACUCGCAGAAUAAGCACCGGCUAACUCUGUGCCAGCAGCAGCCGCGGUAA
rnacentral:rRNA from 1 species